CCUACGGGGCGCAGCAGUGAGGAAUAUUGGUCAAUGGGCGCGAGCCUGAACCAGCCAAGUAGCGUGAAGGAUGACUGCCCUACGGGUUGUAAACUUCUUUUAUAAAGGAAUAAAGUGAGGCACGUGUGCCUUUUUGUAUGUACUUUAUGAAUAAGGAUCGGCUAACUCCGUGCCAGCAGCCGCGGUAAUACGGAGGAUCCGAGCGUUAUCCGGAUUUAUUGGGUUUAAAGGGAGCGGAGAUGGGUUGUUAAGUCAGUUGUGAAAUGUUGCGGCUCAACCGUUAAAUUGGAAUUGAUACUUGCAAUUUUGAGUAAAAGUGGGGGAGGCGGGAAUUCUGGGUG
rnacentral:rRNA from 1 species